rnacentral:misc_RNA from 1 species
AUUAUUUCGCACCCCUCGCUCUCCGGUUCCCGCCCUUGUAAUUAUAGGUCACUUUAAUAUAUGGUUGUUGUUACAACCGUAUACCUUGAUGACCAGUGGUCCUUUAACCUACUUUCCAUAUAGUAUAGAAACUGCAUAUAUAACACGAAGCUUACUGGUCAGCGACUGGUCAGUUUAUAUGUCUUUGGUCCCUCUCAUUGCAAUCAAUCUCUACCGGGCGGCUAAGGCGGGAGGAUGUAUAUUCUUUGCGGCCCCCGGGGAGGACACAACGUCCCUCACUAGGCUUCUGGGGCACCAAUAACCCCUUAUCCCCCUCCUUCGAAGAUACACAGUAAUCAGGAGAAUAUGCAGAAUUUUGAUGAUUGCAAAGUUAAUUCGCAUGCAGGUAAUUGUACAGUUGUACGUGCAUGUGCAUGUACGUGCUGUAGG